GACGAACGCUGGCGGCGUGCUUAACACAUGCAAGUCGAGCGGUAAGGCCCUUUCGGGGGCACACGAGCGGCGAACGGGUGAGUAACACGUGGGUGACCUGCCCUUAGCUCUGGGAUAAGCCUGGGAAACUGGGUCUAAUACCGGAUAUGACUCCAUGACGCAUGUUGUGGGGUGGAAAGCCUUGUGCGGCUAGGGGAUGGGCCCGCGGCCUAUCAGCUUGUUGGUGGGGUGAUGGCCACCAAGGCGACGACGGGUAGCCGGCCUGAGAGGGCGACCGGCCACACUGGGGACUGAGACACGGCCCAGACUCCUACGGGAGGCAGCAGUGGGGAAUCUUGCGCAAUGGGCGAAAGCCUGACGCAGCGACGCCGCGUGAGGGAUGACGGCCUCGG
rnacentral:rRNA from 1 species